AACGAACGCUGGCGGCAUGCCUAACACAUGCAAGUCGAACGAGACCUUCGGGUCUAGUGGCGCACGGGUGCGUAACGCGUGGGAACCUGCCCUUAGGUUCGGAAUAACUCCCCGAAAGGGGUGCUAAUACCGGAUAAUAUCUUCGGACCAAAGAUUUAUCGCCUUUGGAUGGGCCCGCGUUGGAUUAGCUAGUUGGUAGGGUAAAAGCCUACCAAGGCGACGAUCCAUAGCUGGUCUGAGAGGAUGAUCAGCCACACUGGGACUGAGACACGGCCCAGACUCCUACGGGAGGCAGCAGUGGGGAAUAUUGGACAAUGGGCGAAAGCCUGAUCCAGCAAUGCCGCGUGAGUGAUGAAGGCCUUAGGGUUGUAAAGCUCUUUUACCCGGGAUGAUAAUGACAGUACCGGGAGAAUAGGCUCCGGCUAACUCCGUG
rnacentral:rRNA from 1 species